GAUGAAGAACGUAGUGAAAUGCGAUAAGUAAUGUAAAUUGCAGAAUUCAGUGAAUCAUCGAAUCUUUGAACGCACAUUGCACCUCUCGGUAUUCCGGGAGGUAUGCCUGUUCGAGCGUCAUUUGUACCCUCAAGCUCUGCUUGGUGUUGGGUGUUUGUUCCGCCUCUGUGUGUGAACUCGCCUCAAAACAAUUGGCAGCCGGCGUACUUGUUUCGGAGCGCAGCACAUUUUGCGAUCCAGAUCAACGUACAGCGGCAUCCAAGAAGCCUUAUUUAACGCUCUUGACCUCGGAUCAGGUAGGGAUACCCGCUGAACUUAAGCAUAUCAAUAAGCGGAGGA
rnacentral:misc_RNA from 1 species